rnacentral:sRNA from 1 species
GUGGACUAAAAGCCUGUGAUAGGUAAUUUUUUUCUCCUCUGACUUCUACUUUAAACCUUAUUCCUUAUUAUACUUCAGAGGAUGAGAAGAAUAUCGUCGAACGCAAUGUGUCCACUUCAGGCGUGAGCAUUUACUUUGAGGCUUAUCUUUAUAAUGCUACCAACUGUAGCAGCACUCCAUGGCACCUGCCACCCAUGCACAUGACCUCUUCCCAGCGCCGGCCAUCCACUGCUGUUGACGAGGAAGAUGAAGACUCGCCCUCUGAGUGCCACACCCCUGAGAAGGUGAAGAAACCGAAGAAGGUGUACUGCUAUGUGUCACCAAAGCAAUUCUCAGUGAAGGAGUUCUACCUGAAGAUCAUCCCCUGGCGCCUUUACACCUUCCGAGUGUGUCCAGGAACAAAAUUUUCAUACCUUGGUCCUGACCCUGUCCAUAAGCUCCUCACACUGGUGGUGGAUGAUGGCAUUCAACCUCCUGUGGAGCUCAGCUGUAAGGAGAGGAACAUUCUAGCAGCCACUUUCAUCCGCUCCCUGCAUAAGAACAUAGGAGGCUCUGAGACCUUUCAGGACAAGGUGAACUUUUUCCAGCGAGAGCUUCGGCAGGUACAUAUGAAAAGACUACAUUCCAAAGUCACCCUGAAGGUCAGCAGACAUGCCUUGUUGGAAUCGUCUCUGAAAGCCACUCGGAAUUUCUCCAUCUCAGAUUGGAGCAAGAACUUUGAGGUUGUUUUCCAGGAUGAAGAAGCUCUGGACUGGGGAGGGCCUCGCCGGGAAUGGUUUGAGCUAAUCUGCAAAGCACUAUUUGAUACCACCAAUCAGCUCUUCACCCGGUUCAGUGACAACAACCAAGCAUUAGUGCAUCCCAACCCUAAUCGCCCCACUCAUCUGCGCCUGAAAAUGUAUGAGUUUGC